rnacentral:rRNA from 1 species
GAUGAACGCUGGCGGGCGUGUUUUAACUACAUGCAAGUCGAACGGAGUGCCUUUGUAAAGAGGAUUCGUUCCAAAUUGAUAAGGUUACUUAGUGGCGGACGGGUGAGUAACGCGUGAGGAACCUGCCUUGGAGUGGGGAAUAACACAGUGAAAUUGUGCUAAUACCGCAUAAUGCAGUUGGGCCGCAUGGCUCUGACUGCCAAAGAUUUAUCGCUCUGAGAUGGCCUCGCGUCUGAUUAGCUAGUUGGUGGGGUAACGGCCCACCAAGGCGACGAUCAGUAGCCGGACUGAGAGGUUGGCCGGCCACAUUGGGACUGAGACACGGCCCAGACUCCUACGGGAGGCAGCAGUGGGGAAUAUUGGGC